ACUCCUACGGGAGGCAGCAGUGGGGAAUAUUGCACAAUGGGCGCAAGCCUGAUGCAGCCAUGCCGCGUGUAUGAAGAAGGCCUUCGGGUUGUAAAGUACUUUUCAGCAGUGAGGAAGGCAGAUGUAGUUAAGUUAAUCGUCUGCAUUUAUUUUGACGUUAGCUGCAGAAGAAGCACCGGCUAACUCCGUGCCAGCAGCCGCGGUAAUACGGAGGGUGCGAGCGUUAAUCGGAAUUACUGGGCGUAAAGCGCAUGCAGGUGGUUUGUUAAGUCAGAUGUGAAAGCCCGGGGCUCAACCUCGGAAUAGCAUUUGAAACUGGCAGACUAGAGUACUGUAGAGGGGGUAGAAGUUUCAGGUGUAGCGGUGAAAUGCGUAGAGAUCUGAAGGAAUACCGGUGGCGAAGGCGGCCCCCUGGACAAAGACUGACGCUCAGAUGCGAAAGCG
rnacentral:rRNA from 1 species